AGGUUAAGCUACAAAGAGCACACGGAGGAUGCCUAGGCGCCAGGAGCCGACGAAGGACGUGGCGAACAACGAUAAGGCCUCGGGGAGCUGUAAGCAAGCUUUGAUCCGGGGAUGUCCGAAUGGGGAAACCCGGCUGUCUUCAUCGACAGUCACUACUCACUGAAUUCAUAGGUGAGUGAGAGGCAGACCAGGGGAACUGAAACAUCUAAGUACCCUGAGGAAGAGAAAACAAUAGUGAUUCCGUCAGUAGCGGCGAGCGAACGCGGAUUAGCCCAAACCAAGGAGCUUGCUCCUUGGGGUUGUGGGACGUCUCACAUGGAGUUACAAAGGAACCGGUUAGAUGAAGAGGUCUGGAAAGGCCCGCCAGAGAAGGUAAAAGCCCUGUAGUUCAAAACCUGUUCCCUCCGAGACGGAUCCCGAGUAGUGCGGGGCACGUGAAACCCCGUAUGAAUCCGGCAGGACCAUCUGCCAAGGCUAAA
rnacentral:rRNA from 1 species